CCUUUAUGAAACGAGCUGGGAGCUAUUCAAAGGGGGUACAGCCCCUUUAAAAAAGGAUACAACCUCCACCAGCGGAUAAACCCAACCCGUCCAUCCUACCGUGGGCCUUAAAGCAGCCACCCCUAAAGAGUGCGUCAAAGCUCCAAGAAAAAGAUUCACAAACCAUGUGACUCCCUACCCCCCAACAGGCCAACCUAUCCCCAUAGAUGAACUAAUGCUAGAACGAGUAACCAGGACACCAAUCCCCUUAAGCGCCAGCUUACCAACACCAUUAACAGCACUCCCUCAACGCUACCCCCCCCCCCCGACCAAGCAUUGAACACACCCUGUUAACCCAACACCGGAGCGCACAAAUAGGCCGAUUCAAGUAUGCAGAAGGAACUCGGCAAACACAAGGCCCGACUGUUUACCAAAAACAUAGCCUUCAGCCAACCAAGUAUUGAAGGUGACGCUGCCCAGUGACAUUACGUUCAACGGCCGCGGUAUCCUAACCGUGCAAAGGUAGCGCAAUCAAUUGUCUCAUAAAUCGAGACUUGUAUGAACGGCAUAACGAGGCCCUAACUGUCUCCUGCAGACAAUCAGUGAAACUGAUCUCCCUGUGAAAAAGCAGGAAUACACCCACUAGACGAGAAGACCCUGUGGAACUUUAAAAUCAGUAGCCACCCACCUUGGCUCUAAGCCUAACAGGCCCACCCCACAACCCUGGCUAACAUUUUUCGGUUGGGGCGACCUUGGAGGAAAACAAAGCCUCCAAAGCCUAGGGCCAUUCCCCCUAACCAAGAUCCACCUCUCAACGUGCUAACAGCCCACAGACCCAAUAAAAUUGAACAAUGGACCAAGCUACCCCAGGGAUAACAGCGCAAUCUCCCCCAAGAGCCCCUAUCGACAGGGAGGUUUACGACCUCGAUGUUGGAUCA
rnacentral:rRNA from 1 species